UACGGAGGGGGCAAGCGUUACUCGGAAUUAUUGGGCGUAAAGGGCGCGUAGGCGGUCGUGCGCGUCGGAGGUGAAAUCCCCGGGCUUAACCCGGGAGCUGCCUCCGAUACGGCAUGGCUUGAGUCCGGGAGAGGGGAGCAGAAUUCCCAGUGUAGCGGUGAAAUGCGUAGAGAUGCGGAGGAACACCGAUGGCGAAGGCAGCCCCCUGGGCCAACACUGACGCUCAGGCACGAAAGCGUGGGGAGCAAACAGG
rnacentral:rRNA from 1 species